rnacentral:rRNA from 1 species
ACGGGAGGCAGCAGUGGGGAAUAUUGGACAAUGGGGGAAACCCUGAUCCAGCGACGCCGCGUGAGUGAAGAAGUAUCUCGGUAUGUAAAGCUCUAUCAGCAGGGAAGAAAAUGACGGUACCUGACUAAGAAGCCCCGGCUAACUACGUGCCAGCAGCCGCGGUAAUACGUAGGGGGCAAGCGUUAUCCGGAUUUACUGGGUGUAAAGGGAGCGUAGACGGUUUGGCAAGUCUGAAGUGAAAUGCGGGGGCUCAACUCCUGAACUGCUUUGGAAACUGUCGAACUAGAGUGCAGGAGAGGUAAGUGGAAUUCCUAGUGUAGCGGUGAAAUGCGUAGAUAUUAGGAGGAACACCAGUGGCGAAGGCGGCUUACUGGACUGUAACUGACGUUGAGGCUCGAAAGCGUGGGGAGCAAACAGGAUUAGAUACCCUGGUA